CGGGGGCACCUCCGCGAAGCCGCUGCUCGCUCCUCUGGGCUUCUGGGGUUCCCUUUCGUUGCUCUUUCUCCUCUCUUGCGAUUCCCCCCGAGUUCCAUCGUCUCUGGUCCGGAUCACUCCGCGGCGGUGAUCGGACGGGGGUACCGGUCGGGCCUGCUUUCCCCGCCACAGACCACGAUAACGUCUGCCAAUGCGAAACCCUAGACGACAUCAAGAAGCACCUCUGGGCAACCAAGUACGCCCCUAUCUCCGGAAUGCAGAAUUUUUGCUUGGAGUAAUCGGGUAUAGUCACAUGAUUAACAAUGUUGUCCUUAUGGUCAUUGGCACUCUACAUGAGAGAGAAGUCCAAGAACUAUUAAGAAAAUGCCAUCAUUUGGGCAUGCCCGCAUCACUACCCUUGCAGUGUCCCAAAAUAUGUGUGAGCAAGGUUUUAUGUACCGAUGGGAUGGUAGGGCAUUCCACCAUCCCCAGCGUUGGGACAAGGCACCAUCCCUAGUGGGGAUGGGAAGAGUCGAGAAAUGAACUAGGAAGGGAAGUAUCAGUAUGCCGGAUGUCUCAUUCUAACCCUAAUGUUAGGACAAGGCAAUGUCCCCAAUGUCAGGACGGGAAGAGUUGGGAAAUGACUAGUAUGAGAAGUGGCAGAAUGCAGGAUGUCCUGUUCCAUGAAAAAACCAGGACAAUCCCACCCACGGUAUUUAAAGCAUUAUUCGUGAGCUUUACAAGCUAGUCCUUGUUCAUACACCAUUGGCUUCAUAGUUCUCUGGAUGUGUCACAUUAGAGGUACUUUAUACUGACUUGGUCUUUUCAGAAUAUUGCAUGUGUAUGCUCUUUGUACAUAUUUUUGUUGGGAAAUUGAUAAGUCUUAUACCUGUCUUGCUUUUACUUGAACUAUUAACAAGAGUGUUAAGCUCUUGCUUACCCAUUCUUCAGCAUUGCUACCCUUGCAGCGGCCAGAGCUUUACAGGCUAGUCCUUGUUGAUACACCAUUGGCUCCAUACUUCUGGGCAUAUCACAUCAGAGCUACUGACUUAGACUUACCCAUUCUUUUCAGAAUAUUGCAUGUGUAUGUUCUCGUACAUAUUUCCAUUACAAAAUAAAAAGGCUUGUUUUUCUUGAAAGUGGUAAAAGCGACAUAAUGGUUUGGUUUUCAAAAUGAUUGUAGCUCCACCAGUAAAUUGUUGUUGCUCAUGCCAAACGGCUAGGCUGACUUGAUAUCAUCCUAAACAAGUAUGAUGUCCAAAUGAUUUUGCAUUCUAGGUAAAUAGCUGUUUACAGUUCCUUGAAGUAGCAUAAGUGCAAUCUUGACAUUCCACCUUUUUUUUAUGCAACCCACAAUGUUGCAACUCCAUUAAUCCAAUGAUUUUUAGUCCUAUAAUAUUUUUCUCAUGCUACUGUCAGUUUCAUGAUAGAAAAUUUCAAAGUGGCUCACUGUUGUUGUCUCUUUAGGUUUUAUUGGUACAAUAUUAGCACUGAGCUGACUCGAGAUGACUUUUGGAAGCUUUAUGCUAAUUUUGGUUUGCUGCAAGCUUUUUUUUAUCUUUAUUUCAUAUGGAGGUCUUCCUCUUGUAAGAGAUGCUUAAUUGAAUAGUAUCUUUAAUAUAGUUUCAUAUCUUGGGACCAUAUUCAUCCCGUAGCUGUUUUCUCUAAUUAAUGGUGAUUAAUGAAUUGUGGAAUUAAUAAGCUAAUAUCCGAUAUGAGAAUGCUAAAAAUGAGUGCCUGGACCUCAUGUUGUUCAGUGCAUAUUAGUGCAUACUAGUUUUUGGAUUUAUUAUGAGAGCGCAUUGUUUAAAAUCUGGCAUAGCAACAGGUAAACUUUCAGCAUGUGAAUGCAUUUUAUUCACGUCUAAGUUUUCACUGCUAAGGAAGAGCUUUUAUGUGAACUCAAUUGCAAAGUGCAAUUUUAGGACAAAGUUCAAUGUUAAGAUACCUUUCUGACAGGGAAAAUAGGAAGGUCUGAAUCUGCAUAGGGAGAGAUGCAAUACUUCUACUACCCUGAUAUCUUGCAUGGUGACACUGGUCUUCGCAUCGCCAUUUGUAGGUGUGCCUAUGCUAAGAUUAGGCUGUUCCAGACAUUAUAGUGUUUUUUGCAGUUCAUUUUUCGUUGCUUUUAGACAAGUCAAACCUGCCCUAGGCCGAGCGCUUCCUCCUUGAGAAAUGGGGUGGCGUGGUAUUCCACGAGAUAGGUUAAUAUUGUGGCACACAAUGUAAAGCGUGUGAUGGGCAGACAUAAAUAUCUGGCUACCUUUGGCCGCUUUGCUGUCUCGAGCAGCAGUCAGAGCGAGAGGUUUGGCCAACAUCUCUCUUCUAAUAUUUUCUUUACAGUUGUGCCUCUUUUAAUGGAUAAAACAAUUGGCCAACAUCUCUCUUCUAAAUAACAAUUACAAACCCAAUUUGAUCGGGUUGGUUUGGUUUCUGAUCGCGGUGUUUGGUAGUCCAUAUCCAACACAUAUUUGAAAUAGAUCAUACUUUUCGGUCCAAACCUAAUGAAAUGGCUUUGGUUCAUAUUGUAGUAGGUUAUUUCCAAGUCAGUCCUAGAUCGGCUAGAUCAAAAGUGGGUCAAUCCAAAACUCCAAUGUAGGGGUGCAAUCUAGCUAAGUCGAGUUGCUAGAGGCUUGAGCUUGACUCUAUUCAAAAUACUCAGGCUCGGAAGUUGACUUGAGAUCGAUCGAACCUUAAUAUCCAAGCUCAAGCUCGAAUCGAUAUAUAUAAAAAAACAGUAAUCAAGAUCGAUUCAUCGCGACUCAAGCUCGAGCUCAAGCCUUAGUUAUGAUUAAAAAAUAUGGUUAAAACAAACUAUAAUAUAAUAUAAUUUUAAAAUAUUAGAUUAAUAAUGUAUAUAUAUACACUUGACUAGGCUUCGAGCCUUCAAGCUGAGUGUUUUGCUCUUUGAACUCGACUCGAAAAAUUGUUCGAGCUUCUCGAGCUUGGUAAUUGUCGAGUUGAGUUGAGCUUGGACCAGACCUGAGAUCGAACAACUUGCGAGCUGCUUGACUCAUUUGCACCCUUUCUCCAAUGCACCUGACUCCUACAUAAUGUGGCACUUGUGCCCUACCUUUUAUUAGAAAUGUAACAUUAAAAUGUACAUUGAAUCAUGGAGUAUUGUAUAUUUCAAGUUCCUAAUUAAAUGUCACAAAAUUUGGGAAUAUUGAGCUUUAUUAUUUCCUCAGGAAUUUUGACUUUUUUUUAUUCUAUAACUCCAGGACCGCUGAUGAGAAAUGAAUGGUUUGCAAAUGGGAAAUUAUUUGACUUUCAAAUAAAAAAAUUGUGUAUAAUAUUAUAAAAACAGGGUUUUAUAUUCUGUUUCCAGUAUGAUUGAUUAGUAAAGCUCAUCAUUUUUGUUUUCCAUUUCUAUGUGUUUUUUUUUUUUUUGUUUUCAUUCUUUUAAUCUUUGCAUCUAUCAAUUUCUCAAGCAGCGCUUUAUGAAACUCAUCAUUAAGCAGUGCUAUGUAAUGCUCGGAAUUGAAUGUUUGAUGAUGUUUGCAUUUUUCCUGUUCUUCUGCUCUCCUCCCUUCUUAACCAAAGUCAUGUGGUAAUAUUUGUGUUAUAAGGUCUUACAAAAUUAUGUAGCUUUGCAUAUAAUACCUUUAUGUAAUUCAGUUUCAGUUGGCAUUAUCAAAUUCUGUGACUACCAUGUCCCAGCUUGAUCUAGUGGCCAUAUCAUUUCCUUUUCAGUUUGUGUUCAAUAGCUUGGGUUGGUUAUACCUUUUUGUGAUUGACAAUAGCAUGUACAUAUGGUUUUUGUACCUUUUUGUGCCUUUGUAAAGCUUCCAGGUUCAUGCUGCAAUGGAGAAGUAUCCUCCAUAUCAGUCAGUUUUUUCCAAAAUUUCUCAUGGGGAAAGCCAGAUGUUGGUUAAGGCAUUUUGUGAAGAGGAGGUGAAAGAGCUCUGCUUGGCAUUUGAACAGCAGGUAUGCUUGAUCAAGCAUGAAGUUUUAUUUAGAUAAUUUGUGGUUAUUUCAGUUGGCUUCUUUUGUUAUUUACCAUGGCAUUGUUCCAUGGCAAAGAGACUCAUUCAGAUUAAUCAUUGGUAAAACUCCAAGCAUUGAGGAACACCUGAUUAAAAUGAUGAUAUUUGCGGUUUUGAUAACUUAGGCAUCAACAAAAUUAUGUGCUCUUUUUUUUUAAGUAAAUGCAGAAAUACCUAAUGAAAAAAUUCUGCAGUUUUGAUAGCUUUGAUGGCCAUUAUACGAUGUGCUCUUUUCAUGAAGCACAUAAUGUGGAGUAGUGUCAUAUGUUCCUCUUCUUUUUUGUGUUCAUCAGCCAUGUUUGUCCUUGCCCAUCUUCUUAAGCAUUGGCUUUCUGCUUGCUGAUUAACUUUUCCCUGUUGAGAACAAGGGGUUGAAUAGAGAAGAGGAAUAAUAGAGAGAAGAGAGAGAAUAAUAGAGAUUAAAAUAUCCACAAAGGAGUCACUUUAUUCAAUAAAUAAAUAAAUCAUACAAAAUUUGUUCGUCCGCAUUGUCCUAUAUUUAUUGUCAUUCAAACAACCCUAAGACAAUGUUUUCUAAUCAUUAAAGGACGUCAGACAUGCCUAUAAUGGUCCUACAACUUAUGCUGUGACCUGUAUUUAUAGUCAUUCAAACAACCCUAACACAAUGUUUUCUAAUCAUAAAAGGACUUCAGACAUGCCUAUAAUGGAUCUACAACUUACACUGUGACUCAAAAUUGGACUCGUAUUCAACCAAAAUUUCUAUUGUAUCAACUUGGUUCACCUUUCCGACAAAAAUAUCAAAGACUUUUAGGCGAGAGUAAAUUCGAAACUCCAUUGAGUUCCACAUAAAAGACCAAAAAUCUUUCCAAAUCACAAUUCUAAAGAGUUUAAAACUUUCCUAACCGACCUAGACCUAAGGUAGGACUUUUAGAUGACAUUAUAUACUCAUAAUAAGACUCAAAGAUCCACUAGAAAAAUAGCUCUGAAAAAAUUGGUACAAAAUUGCGAGAAAAUAAAAUACUUAACUAACUUUGUAAGACUCCAUAAAACUAGAAUAUAACUAAGCCUAAUUUAGACCUAAACUACAUCGUCCGUCCUUCGGACUAAGGUUUUUCUUGCUUGGUGCAAAUGCUAGGAUGUAUGUGCAUACAGGUUCUGGAAGUCAUUUGCCAUAUUUUGGAUAUCAAAGCACACUUUGAUGAAUUGGAUGCUCACCUACAAAUUCUAGCAAUAUGCACAGUUCCACAAAUUAUUUCACUGUUCAGCCGGUCGGAUGGGCAAGUUUUGUUGUGAAGCUUCCCCCUUGAGUAAUGAAGUUAUUCAUUUUAAAUGCAUUGUCUUAUGCUGUCUGAUUUUGGUUGUGAUCUUCAGGAUUUACAGGCCGUAUGUAGGGAUCUAGAUUUUUAUUUUUGGAGACCCAGUUUUGGAAUUUGAUUGCAUAGCAGCAACUAAUUGCAGAUUUUUUAUUUCUUUAUUUUGCUUCCAAUACGUUAUUUUUUUUUGUGAUAAUGAGAUUAAGAACCAGUCAUGUAUAGUGUACGUUGAUAUCUUUUUCAUGUAAAACGUAAUCAAAUGACAGCGCCCUUAGCGUGCAGGUGUUUGAUUAGCUCUCCCCAGGUUGUUCCCUGAAAACUGCGCACAUUUUGUGACGCCACCAGCGACGGAGUUGGUUUCACCAAAGAUUGUGACGAGCUUUUCUCCAAAAAGAGCCCGUGGGGGUCUCCCAUGGCGCGAGCAAAGAUUUCCAGCCUAAUGCUUGCCGGAUGUCCAUUUCUUGGACGACCUUGAAAACUCUUCCAACCAAAAAUCCUUCCUCAGCCUUUUUUUUCCCUCUCUUUUCUUGUUUUAUAAAGAUCCUGACUUCUGAAUGAAGCUGGGGGGGAGAACUGAACGGAAGAGGGCAUCAUAUAAACACUUAUAUUUCUUGCUUGGCCAUGCUCAAUAAAACAAAGUGUACAUGCUACAAAAAAGAAUAAAGGGAGAAUGCUAAUGAUGCAAGGUUCGAAAUUA